rnacentral:rRNA from 1 species
UUCGUAGGGACCAAGCGUUGUUCGGAUUUACUGGGCGUAAAGGGCGCGUAGGCGGCAAAUUAAGUCAUCUGUGAAAUCUCCGAGCUUAACUCGGAACGGUCAGGUGAUACUGAUCUGCUAGAGUGCGGAAGGGGCAAUCGGAAUUCUUGGUGUAGCGGUGAAAUGCGUAGAUAUCAAGAGGAACGCCUGAGGUGAAGACGGGUUGCUGGGCCGACACUGACGCUGACAGCGCGAAAGCCAGGGGAGCAAACGGG